GUCUCGGUGGCGCAAUUGGUAAGCUUGCCCUUCAUCAAAUCGUGAGGUUGAGAGUUCGAUCCUCUCCCGGGACG